GGCUGUGGGGUCCCCAAAACAACCAGGAGGUUGGCUUAGAAGCAGCCAUCCUUUAAAGAAAGCGUAACAGCUCACUGGUCUAAAUAAGGGGCCCUGCGCCGAAAAUGUACCGGGGCUAAAGCCACAUACCGAAGACGCGGGUGCAUGCUUGCAUGCGCGGUAGCGGAGCGUUCCGUAAGCCUGUGAAGGGUGACUCGUGAGAGCACCUGGAGGUAUCGGAAGUGAGAAUGC
rnacentral:rRNA from 1 species